rnacentral:rRNA from 1 species
CCCUUAGAUGUUCUGGGCCGCACGCGCGCUACACUGAUGCAUUCAACGAGUUUCUUCCUGGUCCGAGAGGCAUGGGUAACCUUUUGAAAGUGCAUCGUGAUAGGGAUAGACUAUUGCAAUUAUUGGUCUUCAACGAGGAAUUCCUAGUAGACGUAGUUCAUCAGACUGCAUCGAUUACGUCCCUGCCCUUUGUACACACCGCCCGUCGCUCCUACCGAUUGAAUGCUCAGGUGAGCCAUUCGGACUUUCAUCAUGCUGGUUUCCAGUUUUGAUGAAGGAAAGUCUUGCGAACCUUAUCAUUUAGAGGAAGGAGAAGUCGUAACA